CACAUAUUCAUUCAAUAAUCUAUACGAUUCUAUCGUUUUAGAAUGAAAUGGUGUGGUGGGGGUACUCUCCCACUCCUGACGUCUAUAUAAGAGGCGGACCGACUUUGACAGUAAGUGAUCCAGUCAUGCUUCGAAUUUCGACGAGUAAACAUCGCAGUCCACACUGUAUGCACUCUUCAAUGAAAUGGUGUGGUGGGGGUACUCUCCCACUCCUGACGUCUAUAUAAGAGGCGGACCGACUUUGACAGUAAGUGAUCCAGUCAUGCUUCGAAUUUCGACGAGUAAACAUCGCAGUCCACACUGUAUGCACUCUUCGUAAGUAAUAGAGAAGAGUUAAUAAUGAAAUGGUGUGGUGGGGGUACUCUCCCACUCCUGACGUCUAUAUAAGAGGCGGACCGACUUUGACAGUAAGUGAUCCAGUCAUGCUUCGAAUUUCGACGAGUAAACAUCGCAGUCCACACUGUACGCACUCUUCAAUGAAAUGGUGUGGUGGGGGUACUCUCCCACUCCUGACGUCUAUAUAAGAGGCGGACCGACUUUGACAGUAAGUGAUCCAGUCAUGCUUCGAAUUUCGACGAGUAAACAUCGCAGUCCACACUGUAUGCACUCUUCAAUGAAAUGGUGUGGUGGGGGUACUCUCCCACUCCUGACGUCUAUAUAAGAGGCGGACCGACUUUGACAGUAAGUGAUCCAGUCAUGCUUCGAAUUUCGACGAGUAAACAUCGCAGUUCACACUGUACGCACUCUUCAAUGAAAUGGUGUGGUGGGGGUACUCUCCCACUCCUGACGUCUAUAUAAGAGGCGGACCGACUUUGACAGUAAGUGAUCCAGUCAUGCUUCGAAUUUCGACGAGUAAACAUCGCAGUCCACACUGUACGCACUCUUCAAUGAAAUGGUGUGGUGGGGGUACUCUCCCACUCCUGACGUCUAUAUAAGAGGCGGACCGACUUUGACAGUAAGUGAUCCAGUCAUGCUUCGAAUUUCGACGAGUAAACAUCGCAGUUCACACUGUACGCACUCUUCAAUGAAAUGGUGUGGUGGGGGUACUCUCCCACUCCUGACGUCUAUAUAAGAGGCGGACCGACUUUGACAGUAAGUGAUCCAGUCAUGCUUCGAAUUUCGACGAGUAAACAUCGCAGUCCACACUGUACGCACUCUUCAAUGAAAUGGUGUGGUGGGGGUACUCUCCCACUCCUGACGUCUAUAUAAGAGGCGGACCGACUUUGACAGUAAGUGAUCCAGUCAUGCUUCGAAUUUCGACGAGUAAACAUCGCAGUCCACACUGUACGCACUCUUCAAUGAAAUGGUGUGGUGGGGGUACUCUCCCACUCCUGACGUCUAUAUAAGAGGCGGACCGACUUUGACAGUAAGUGAUCCAGUCAUGCUUCGAAUUUCGACGAGUAAACAUCGCAGUUCACACUGUACGCACUCUUCAAUGAAAUGGUGUGGUGGGGGUACUCUCCCACUCCUGACGUCUAUAUAAGAGGCGGACCGACUUUGACAGUAAGUGAUCCAGUCAUGCUUCGAAUUUCGACGAGUAAACAUCGCAGUCCACACUGUACGCACUCUUCAAUGAAAUGGUGUGGUGGGGGUACUCUCCCACUCUUGACGUCUAUAUAAGAGGCGGACCGACUUUGACAGUAAGUGAUCCAGUCAUGCUUCGAAUUUCGACGAGUAAACAUCGCAGUCCACACUGUACGCACUCUUCAAUGAAAUGGUGUGGUGGGGAUACAUUGCCACUCGGGAAGGGAUAUAAGACGACCGACUUUGGCAGUGGGCACAAUCUUGUCACGAGUGUCCAUUAUUUACAUCCCAAUACUCGCAGCACGCAAGCUCCGCAAGUAAUAAUUACAAGUUAAAUCUUGAUAUAUUAACAAGCGAAGAGCAACAUAUUACAAGGUUGUAUCGGGUGGGACCCUUGGGAGGGGCCCAAGGGUGUGGGCCUUCGGGCGGGUUACUGUCUCCAUUACCUUUUUCUUUUCGUUCCACUCCUAUUCAUUUUUUGGUUCAGGUUAUAUCAUCGUGGAACCUUCGCUGCAGGCAAUCAUAACAAAAUCGCACCUGUGAAUGAGGGAACAUAGAAAUUUUCGCAAGACACCGUUGGAGCAGUAGUAACGAAGAUUUUACGCAAGUACAAUGUGGUAUUACUCAUAUUUUCGUAUUUCUAUACUAUUUCUUUUGUUUUAGAUUCCCUCUGUGCACUCUCGGAGGACUUUGGCAAUUUACCACCACGAGAGCACUUAGAAAUUUUCAUAGGAUGGCAUAGGAGGAGUACCCACGAAGAUUUUACGCAAGUACAAUGUUGUAUCAUGCUUAUUUUCCACUUUCUAUACUAUUCUUUUUGUUUUAGAUUUCCACUGUGCACUCUCGGUGGCCGUUGAGAGUCUAUCUCCAUGGGGGACAUAGAAAUUUCCAUAGGAUGCCAUAGGAGCGAGUAUUAACGAAUACUUAAUACGAGUAUACAAAAGAUUAUUGAUUUUAGACUUAAAUGCGAAGUGGGGAUACUCGCCGUCGAGAGACGACAACAAAGUCGGUUCUUUGACCGACCAUAACAGUUACUGGUUCAUUUGUGUUUUGGACUUCGACGAGAGAACUUGGAAAUUUUCACAGACUGUCAUAGGAGCGCGGACUAACGAAGAUUUUACGCAAGUACAAUGUUGUAUCAUUCUUAUUUUCCACUUUCUAUACUAUUCUUUUUGUUUUAGAUUUCCACUGUGCACUCUCGGAGGCCGUUGACAGUCUUUCUGCAUGGGGGACAUAGAAAUUUCCAUAGGAUUCCAUAGGAGCGAGGACUAACGAAGAUUUUACGCAAGUACAAUGUUGUAUCAUGCUUAUUUUCCACUUUCUAUACUAUUCUUUUUGUUUUAGAUUUCCACUGUGCACUCUCGGUGGCCGUUGACAGUCUUUCUGCAUGGGGGACAUAGAAAUUUCCAUAGGAUGCCAUAGGAGCGAGUAUUAAGGAAUAGUUAAUACGAGUAUACAAAAGAUUAUUGAUUUUAGACUUAAAUGCGAAGUGGGGAUACUCGCCGUCGAGAGACGACAACAAAGUCGGUUCUUUGACCGACCAUAACAGUUACUGGUUCAUUUGUGUUUUGGACUUCGACGAGAGAACUUGGAAAUUUUCACAGACUGUCAUAGGAGCGCGGACUAACGAAGAUUUUACGCAAGUACAAUGUUGUAUCAUUCUUAUUUUCCACUUUCUAUACUAUUCUUUUUGUUUUAGAUUUCCAUUGUGCACUCUCGGUGGCCGUUGACAGUCUUUCUGCAUGGGGGACAUAGAAAUUUCCAUAGGAUUCCAUAGGAGCGAGGACUAACGAAGAUUUUACGCAAGUACAAUGUUGUAUCAUGCUUAUUUUCCACUUUCUAUACUAUUCUUUUUGUUUUAGAUUUCCACUGUGCACUCUCGGUGGCCGUUGAGAGUCUAUCUCCAUGGGGGACAUAGAAAUUUCCAUAGGAUGCCAUAGGAGCGAGUAUUAACGAAUACUUAAUACGAGUAUACAAAAGAUUAUUGAUUUUAGACUUAAAUGCGAAGUGGGGAUACUCGCCGUCGAGAGACGACAACAAAGUCGGUUCUUUGACCGACCAUAACAGUUACUGGUUCAUUUGUGUUUUGGACUUCGACGAGAGAACUUGGAAAUUUUCACAGACUGUCAUAGGAGCGCGGACUAACGAAGAUUUUACGCAAGUACAAUG